UGCGGAAGGAUCAUUACUGUGAUUAUUGUUCCCCACUGGGUGGGCCCCCCCCACCCCCCAACCCGUUUUCUAGUUGGGGGAUUUUUAUUUUAACCCAA
rnacentral:misc_RNA from 1 species